CCUACGGGAGGCAGCAGUGAGGAAUAUUGGUCAAUGGGCGUAAGCCUGAACCAGCCAAGUCGCGUGAGGGAUGAAGGUUCUAUGGAUCGUAAACCUCUUUUAUAAGGGAAUAAAGUGCGGGACGUGUCCCGUUUUGUAUGUACCUUAUGAAUAAGGAUCGGCUAACUCCGUGCCAGCAGCCGCGGUAAUACGGAGGAUGCGAGCGUUAUCCGGAUUUAUUGGGUUUAAAGGGUGCGCAGGCGGAGGCACAAGUCAGCGGUAAAAUCGCGGGGCUCAACCCCGCUCCGCCGUUGAAACUGUGUCCCUUGAGUGCGCGAAGGGUAGGCGGAAUGCGUGGUGUAGCGGUGAAAUGCAUAGAUAUCACGCAGAACUCCGAUCGCGAAGGCAGCCUACCGGCGCGCAACUGACGCUCAUGCACGAAAGCGUGGGUAUCGAACAGGAUUAGAUACCCCUGUAGUC
rnacentral:rRNA from 1 species